ACCGAAACUCGAUUUUCGGACCUGGCAACCCUGUUUGCAUCAUUCAAAAUGGCGGUUUUGAACGGGUCUGUCUUCUGAAUAAGUGUGGUUCCCAAGCCUUGUUCACGAAAUAUCCCCCUUAGGCUUUGAAUAUAAAACUAACUUAGUUUUAUAUUCAAAGCCCUUAGGGGUAUGUUCUGUGGCCUUGUUCUAUGGUGUGGUUCUAUGGAGUCUGUAAAGAGAAGCCUUCUUUAAAUCGCCCUUAUAUUUGGAUUUUAUUGUAUCUGUUUGGCUGAAGUUUUAAAAUGGUAGCUGCUCGCGAUUUACAGUGUAAAAGCUAUGGGUGGCGACCGUGCCUUGACCGCAAAUGUAGUCAUUCCCAUCGCAGAUAUGUGACUUUGAUAUAAAAGAAACCACCUUGGGAAUAUUCGCCUUCUUAAGUAUUUUGAACGUGAGAUACGUAAGAUAUUGAUCUUAAGGUCUUGCUAAGAUGAUAUAAGAUACCAUAUGACUAAUAAAAUAUAUUUUCUGGUG
rnacentral:lncRNA from 1 species